rnacentral:rRNA from 1 species
UACGUAGGGUGCAAGCGUUACUCGGAAUCAUUGGGCGUAAAGCGCAUGUAGGCGGCCCUGUAAGUCUGAUGUGAAAUCCCUGGACUCAAUCCAGGAAGUGCAUUGGAUACUGCGGGGCUAGAGUACAGGAGAGGUGGAUGGAAUUCCUGGUGUAGAGGUGAAAUUCGUAGAUAUCAGGAGGAACAACAGAGGCGAAGGCGAUUCACUGGACUGUAACUGACGCUGAGAUGCGAAAGUGUGGGGAGCAAACAGG